CUGUGAGCCAAUCAGAGCGCUCCACAUCAUCUAAAGUGGACUAAUUUGAACAAGCAGGGACAGCCAUGAGGAAAGGAAGAAGAGCAAGCGCUGACCUCCGAUCCCCCUGAUGAAGACGGUCGAGAGAAGAGAGACUUCCUCCUCACAGGUGUGUCACCACAAACGUCUUCCCCUCACCUCUGGAUGUGCAGAAAACAGGCGUCGGACCAAAUCACAAUCUCUUUCACCUGCCAGACUCAGCUGACCCAAACGACCCCCUUCAUCUCCCUCUCUGCACUGAUAGCCUCUCGUGUAGCGGAUGUGCACUUGGAUGUAAAACCCUCUUCCCGACAUCGCCUCCCGUGUCCCGGCCUGGAUAAGACAUUAGCGGCGGUGUUGCUGUUUAACGCAUUGGCAGCUCUGCAGGCCACAUCACAGAAUUCAAGCGAACUGGACACUCUGAUACA